CCUACGGGAGGCAGCAGUGAGGAAUAUUGGUCAAUGGGCGCUAGCCUGAACCAGCCAAGUAGCGUGCAGGAUGACUGCCCUAUGGGUUGUAAACUUCUUUUAUAUGGGAAUAAAGUGCAGUAUGUAUACUGCUUUGCAUGUACCUUAUGAAUAAGGAUCGGCUAAGUCCGUGCCAGCAGCCGCGGUAAUACGGAGGAUCCGAGCGUUAUCCGGAUUUAUUGGGUUUAAAGGGAGCGUAGGCGGGUUGUUAAGUCAGUUGUGAAAGUUUGCGGCUCAACCGUAAAAUUGCAGUUGAUACUGGCAGCCUUGAGUACAGUAGAGGUAGGCGGAAUUCGUGGUGUAGCGGUGAAAUGCUUAGAUAUCACGAAGAACUCCGAUUGCGAAGGCAGCCUGCUGGACUGUAACUGACGCUGAUGCUCGAAAGUGUGGGUAUCAAACAGGAUUAGAUACCCCAGUAGUC
rnacentral:rRNA from 1 species